rnacentral:rRNA from 1 species
AGGACGAACGCUGGCGGCGUAGCUUAACACAUGCAAGUCGAACGAAGAUACGGGAGAGCUUGCUCGAAGGUAUCUGAGUGGCGGACGGGUGAGUAACGCGUGAACAAUCUGUCUCAUACAGGGGGAUAACGCGUCGAAAGACGUGCUAAUACCGCGUAGGACCACGGAGUCGCAUGGCUCUGGGGUGAAAGGAGCAAUCCGGUAUGAGGUGAGUUCGCGUCUGAUUAGAUAGUUGGUGAGGUAACGGCCCACCAAGUCAACGAUCAGUAGCCGACCUGAGAGGGUGAUCGGCCACAUUGGGACUGAGACACGGCCCAGACUCCUACGGGAGGCAGCAGUGGGGAAUAUUGGGCAAUGGGCGAAAGCCUGAACCCCAGCAACGCCGCGUGAGGGAAGAAAGUUUUCGGAUUGUAAACCUCUGUCCUACAUGAAGAGUUAGAGACGGUAGUGUAGGAGGAAGCCCCGGCUAACUACGUGCCAGCAGCAGC